GAUUGCUCAGCUGGUAGAGCAGCCCCGACUUUAUAAGUCGGGGACGGUCGUGGGUUCGAACCCCACCGGGGUCACCA
rnacentral:tRNA from 1 species